rnacentral:lncRNA from 1 species
AUCUCUCAGGGCCAGGCCGCAGCCCAGUGGCUGGAAUACGGGACUGGGACAAUCACAGUGCUUCAGGUUGAAAAUAUACGAAGAAUGAAUCUACCUGUAGUGAACUAACUUCUUCCUUUUUCCAGUAGCAAAUUCCGGAAUCUCCAAGGAAGGCUUGGGGUUCAAAUUCCUAUUGUGGGAGCAGAUGUGUUCAUCAGAGUGCUUGCUGAGAUACCAAGCCCAGGAGAAGUGUGAAGGCCAGUGACACAGAUGCUGCCACCCCUUCUUCAACAUAUCAGUUGUUUUAAAAGUCUUAUCUCCAAAUUUCCCAUUUCAGGGCAGACCUGUCCCUGUCUAGCUUCUGCCCACUACCCUCAGUUCGGUGGCAUUAGAGUUUCUGAUUACCAUCAAAGAUGUUGGCACAGGUUCAGGGCCAAAUGCUGCCUGGAAGAACCUUCUCCAUCCACGGACAUACAGUCCUCCAAGGCAGUAGAAGACAAUAUCUGAAGAAGUGGCAUCACGAGCAGCAGAGAUGACUUUGGGAUUUUCUGACCCUCAGUGAGAGAGAAACUUCAAAGAUAGAUAUGAGACUGGUUUCUGCUGACUUGCUGGUGUCUGUAGAAGGAGUAAAGCUAUUCCAGUAAUAAUCAAUUCAGCAGGAAAGUCCUCAUUCAGAAGUUCAACACUGUGCUCUAAAAACCGAAUGAAAGCUGAGCAUUCCCUGGUUAUCUUUGAGCUGACUUCAGAGACACACAACAGCUGAAGUGUCAGCUGGGUUAGCUGAAUUUUCCAGAAAAUGGGAUGAUACAGAAGGC